AUUGGUUUUGCCAUACAUCAACAUGAAUCCGCUGCGGGUAUACACCUGUUCCCCAUCCUGAACCCCCUCCCUCCUCCCUCCCCGUCCAUCCCUUCAUUCUUUCUGGAGUUAUUUCUCCACUGAUCUCUAGUAGCAUUUUGGGCACCUACCGACCUGGGGAGUUCAUCUUUCAGUGUCCUAUCUUUUUUGCAUUUUCAUACUGUUCAUGGGGUUCUCAAGGCAAGAAUACUGAACUGGUUUGCCAUUCCCUUCUCCAGUGGACCACAUUCUGUCAGACGUCUCCACCAUGUCACAGCCAUCUUGGGUCAUCCCACGUGGCAUGGCUUAGUUUCAUUGAAUUAAACAAGGCUGUGAUCACUGGGGUUAGGCCACUGAAUUUUGGGCUGUUUUGUACUAUAACAGCAUUUCUAGCCGAUGACAAUUAAUACAGAUAAUAGAGUUGCUAAUGUAUUUAUUUGAUAAAGUGAAGAAUGGGAGAGGUAGGCAUAGGGGCACCUAGGGAGGACUAGAUGAAUGGACCAUUCCAAGGAGUACUAUUCAUGAGACUAGGAGCUGUCCUGGAUAGAACUCUUGCUGCGCUGCCCCUCAGCACAGCACUGACUGCCAUCUCUCUAGCCUCUGGACACCUCCCCAUGAUGCCCCCAGCAACCUGGUGCCCAGAGGGUGAAUGCAGCAUGGCUACUGCGCCAGUGGUGGAGGAGCACCCUUACUUGGGAGAAUUUCUGAAGUGAGGAGACUUGGACCUCUGAGCUGAAUUAAUGAUUACGGCAGCAGUGUAUUACAGAGUAAAUGAACACUGAUAAUCACAUCUGCCCUGCCUUCUAUUAAUACACAACAUUCUGAUCAAAAAACAUGUUAAUGGAUGAGAAAAUCCUUUGCAAAAUUCAAUGCAAAAAUAUGAGAAAGCACAAUUCUUCCUAUUCAGUUCAGUUCAGUUUGGUUCAGUCGCUCAGUGAUGUCUGACUCUUUGUGUCCCCAUGGACCACAGCACACCAGGCCUCCCGGUCCAUCACCAACUCCCACAGUCUACUCAAACUCAUGUCCAUUGAGUCGGUGAUGCCAUCCACCCAUCUCAUCCUCUGUGGUCCCCUUCUCCUCCUGCCCUCAGCUUUUCCCAGCAUCACGGUCUUUUCAAAUGAGUCAGCUCUUCACAUCAGGUGGCCCAAGUAUUGAAGUUUCAGCUUCAACAUCAGUCCUUCCAAUGAACACUCAGGACUGAUCUCCUUUAGGAUGGACUUGUUGGAUCUCCUUGCAGUCCGAGAGACUCUCAAGAGUCUUCUCCAACACCACAGUUCAAAAGCAUCAAUUCUUUGGUGCUCAGCUUUCUUUAGAGUCCAACUCUCACAUCCAUACAUGACCACUGGAAAACCAUAGCCUUGACUAGACGGACCUUUGUUGGCAAAGUAAUGUCUCUGCUUUUAACAGUGUUUAACUCCAAGGUGCCCCUGGGUUAUAAUGUUGCAAUCCGAAAAAUCUCCCUGAUCCCAAAUUAUAUCCCCCCAAAGGAGUCAUUAUGCCUUCUAGAUAGACCAUGCCAUGGGGGAGGAAGCCGUGUGUGUGUGUGUGUGUGUGUGUGUGUGUGUGUUUUCCUGUCUGACCCUCCUUAACCUGAAACCCCAUUGUAUACAAUGUCCAGCUCAAAUGUGUCAGUUCCUCUUGGAUGGAAGGAUGAGCCAAUGGGAUGAAGGUCAGAGUGGUGUGGUGACUUUGACAAGGCUGUAGAUUUUCUGAGAUGGAUCCUAGCUCUUAAUUUCCACCAUUUCCUUACACUUUCAUUACCUUUUCUGAGUUGCACGUCUCUCUUCUUUAAAAUGAGAAGUUAGAUUUAUAAACUUUCAAAUGUCCUUACCAGAUUUUAUAUCCCACUAUUUCAAGAAAAAAUAAUGGAUGGCUUAUAGUUUCAUUUUUACAGUUCCCUAAUGUACCCUCUGGGUAAAAAACGGCCAACAGGAGGAGGAAAGAGACAAAUGUGUGAAGCAGGCGGCCCCGUGUGAUAGCAUGCUAAGGUUUAGAGCCAAGCCUUAGGGGCCAGCGUUUGAGAGUGGCGAUGCUGAAAGUCACAGAAGGAAGAGGGCCUCUAGGUGGUCUGUGGCCACUAGGGGGGGUGAAGGGAACAUUUUAGAAGAUUUUCAGUUUCACGCUAUAAAACAUGAGCCUUAAUAAGUCUUUCAACAUACUAAAGAUGAUGACAAAACUCAUAUUUGGAGUGGGUACCACUGAUUUUUUAAGAAAAAGAUUUCCAUUUUCAUUUGACUCUUACAAAUCUAGGUCUCUGAAUCUCUAAAGAGAAGUUGAAACAGAGGAGAUUUAAGCUGCACUGUUUAGGCUAGUCGUACCUAAUAAAAUAUACUAGUAACAGAAUAAAGUAUAAAAUAGUAAAAUAAAAGGCUGAUUAUUUUAAGUGAAGAAGUUGUAAGGAUGCUAACUGAUUCUUUCUCUCUCUACAAAGAACUGGAGGUAGACAUGUGGGGCUCUGGACAGAGGGAAGAGAAGAUCCAGCAGCUGUGAGGGGGCUGGAAGAAGCCCCCUCAAGAGAUGGGGGUGACCUGAUCUAGGGACCCCCUAGGACAGAAUUCGUGUGGUCAGUGGCCGCUGAGAGCACUGGUGCCGGAUAUUAAGGAUUUCCUUUAUUUUGUUCUAUUUAUUUUUAAUUGGAGGAUAAUUGCUUUACAAUGUUCGGUUGGUUUCUGCCAUGCAACAACGUGAAUCAGCCAUAAGUAUGGAUUCCUCUGUCUUGAGCCUCCCCUCUCCUGCCCCUGUUUCACCCUCCUCUAGGUCAUCGGAAUUUCCUUUAUAUUACUAAACUUUCUUUGUGCUAUCUUCGUGUCAUAUGAUUCAAUCGAGUGUCCAUGUGCUGCAGUGAAGUUGCUGGCGUGGCACAGAGGUGGGGAGACGCACGUGGUUGUUGUUAUUAUUGCUUAGUUGCUCAGCUAUGUCCGACUGUUUGUGACCCCAUGGACUGUAGCCCACUAGGCUCCUUUGUCCCUGGGAUUUCCCAGGCAAGAAGAAUGGAGUGGGUUGCCUAUUCCUUCUCCAGGGGAUCUUCCUGACUCAGGGAUCAAACCUGCGUCUCCUGUACUGGUGGGGAGAUUCUUCACCGCUGAGCCGCCAGCGAAGCCUGAGCGCAUGGUUAGGGAAGAGCAACACUGACGAUAAUAAUGAUGGUGUUAGUAACAGUAGCAGUGAUAGCAAACACUUACAUAGCAGUUACUGGCUGCCAGGCAUUGCUCUAAGCAUUUUAUAUGAACUCUCAUCUUAUCCUCAUAAUGACCUUAUGAGGUAGGCAUCAUUUUUUCCCCAGCUUCAUCAAGAUAUUAUUGACAUAUAGCAUAUGUAAGUUUAAGGUAUACAAUGUGAUGACUUUAUAUACACACACACACACACACACACACACACACACACACACUAAAUUCAAUAUAUUUAUAUAUGUAUUUUGUGACAUGAUGACCACAAUAGGUCAGUUAACACCUCCAUUUCCUUAUCACUUUUUGGUGAGAAUAUUUAAAAUCUGCUCUCUUUAACAAGUUUCUGUGUUGUUAAUUCCCAAGUAAACACUAUUUUAGCCCCACUUUUCAGGUGAGGAAACUGAAGCAGAGACGGUUAAACGUCAAAUAAGUUGCCUAAAGGGAGAAACCUGGAGCAGAAACCCAGAUGCUCCAGAAUCGCUUUCUGCAGGAAUCCAAGGUAGAGUGUUAAGCUGCUUUAUUGGAACAGCAUUAAUAACAGAGAGUGACCAUCGAGGGCUGGGCAGCCUGGGGCCACAGGUCCAGCACCUGUGGCCACCUUUGUCCUCUUCUCUGAAUUUCCACGUGCUGGUCCUGGUCCACACUCAGUGGAUGUGGUAGCCUCUGAGACAGGGUCUCACAGGACUGAAAUGUUUAACUUCCUGGUCCGUUGCCAGCUUCUUCCAGCUGCCUGGGAGCAGGGAGUCAGUUCCUUUUAAUUGUUCCUGUUUCCAGGACAAUGAGAUGAAGAUGUUCCCGUUCUGGUGGGUGCUAUACAUUGAGUGGUUGCAUCCAAGUGGUCAGACAUCAGGGCUUCAGGACUGGGGCGUCUGAAGCGUGGUGGUGCCGCCUCUCGCGUCCCCACUCUGACUCCAGAGAGCCGGCAGGUCUCGACCAGCUUUAAGUGAGUUCACUGCUGUGGUGACUGUCACAAGAGAGAUGCUGGGAACCACGCUUACAGGCAGAAUCCAAAACUUCAGCUCACACUUCAGAAAUUUCUAGCCUUCAAGACUUUUUCUAGAGAAAUAUCCAAGCAAGAAAAUAAACUACGCAUUAUUCAAGUCCUUCAACCUUGCUGUACAACAGGUAGAGAAUAAUUAUUGGCAUCCCUAUUUUACAAAUGAAGAAACUGAGGCUCAAACUGUCUGAGUGGAAGAGCUGGGAUCUCCUUGG
ensembl:lncRNA